GUGCCAGCCGCCGCGGUAAGACGUAGGAGGCGAGCGUUAUCCGGAUUCACUGGGCGUAAAGCGCAUGUAGGCGGUUCAUUAAGUCCGCGGUUAAAGCCCCCGGCUCAACUGGGGGAGGUCCGUGGAGACUAUUGGACUUGAGGGCAACAGAGGCACGUGGAACUCCCGGUGUAGCGGUGGAAUGCGUAGAGAUCGGGAAGAACACCAGUGGCGAAGGCGACGUGCUGGGUUGCAACUGACGCUGAGAUGCGAAAGUGUGGGGAGCAAACGGGAUUAGAAACCCGCGUAGUCC
rnacentral:rRNA from 1 species